rnacentral:rRNA from 1 species
AGCGGCAGGCCUAACACAUGCAAGUCGAGGGGCAGCACAAAGAUAGUUUACUAUUUUGGUGGCGACCGGCGCACGGGUGAGUAACGCGUAUGCAACCUACCUUAUACAGGAGUAUAGCCCGAAGAAAUUCGGAUUAAUCCUCCAUAGUAUUUUCUAAUGGCAUCAUUUGGAAAAUUAAAGCUUCGGCGGUAUAAGAUGGGCAUGCGUCCUAUUAGCUAGAUGGUAAGGUAACGGCUUACCAUGGCUACGAUAGGUAGGGGGCCUGAGAGGGUGAUCCCCCACACUGGUACUGAGACACGGACCAGACUCCUACGGGAGGCAGCAGUGAGGAAUAUUGGGCAAUGGAGGCAACUCUGACCCAGCCAUGCCGCGUGCAGGAAGAAUGCCCUAUGGGUUGUAAACUGCUUUUAUUUAGGAAUAAACCUCUCUACGUGUAGAGAGCUGAAUGUACCUAACGAAUAAGCACCGGCUAACUCCGUGCCAGCAGCCGCGGUAAUACGGAGGGUGCAAGCGUUAUCCGGAAUCAUUGGGUUUAAAGGGUCCGCAGGCGGACGUAUAAGUCAGUGGUGGAA